GUCUAUAGUCAUACUACCAUGAGCAUAUCUGAUCUCAUCUGAUCUCAGAAACUAAGUAGGAUUGGGCCUGCUUAGUCUUUGGAUAGGAGCCCAGUGCCCUAGGUC
rnacentral:rRNA from 1 species